ACGUGAUUUGAACCCCGCGCCACGGCCGGCGCGAUGCCCGUCCUCGCACCCUCCCUGGUCCAAGAUGGAAAUACCAGGCCUCGGGGGCUCUGCGGCUCCGAACCCGGAGGGGCACGCGCCGAAACUGGCCGGGACCUUCAGAACCUGAACACCAAACCUCUGUUGCCUCGGCGGACUCGUCCGCCGGUGGACACCAAAAAAACAACUGUAGUAUGAAAGCAGUCUGAGCCUUCGAGCAACGAAUUA
rnacentral:misc_RNA from 1 species